AAAUAGAUUAACAAAAUGGGUAGAAAACCAUAAAGAGAUUCAGCAGAAUCGAUAAUUAGCAAACUCUCGAGUUAUAUUUGUCUUGUCCACUGAACUUCAGUUAGAAUAGUUAAAUAAUAUUUUCAAACCUGUUAAACUGGAGUUUUCUUUCUUACCGAAAUUUAACCUAAAUAACUAAAAAGUCUCCUAAAUUUUCUCAACUUAUAAGCAA
rnacentral:lncRNA from 1 species